GAUGAACGCUGGCGGCGUGCCUAAUACAUGCAAGUCGAGCGAACGGACGAGAAGCUUGCUUCUCUGAUGUUAGCGGCGGACGGGUGAGUAACACGUGGAUAACCUACCUAUAAGACUGGGAUAACUUCGGGAAACCGUAGCUAAUACCGGAUAAUAUUUUGAACCGCAUGGUUCAAAAGUGAAAGACGGUCUUGCUGUCACUUAUAGCUGGAUCCGCGCUGCAUUAGCUAGUUGGUAAGGUAACGGCUUACCAAGGCAACGAUGCAUAGCCGACCUGAGAGGGUGAUCGGCCACACUGGAACUGAGACACGGUCCAGACUCCUACGGGGGGCAGCAGUAGGGAAUCUUCCGCAAUGGGCGAAAGCCUGACGGAGCAACGCCGCGUGAGUGAUGAAGGUCUUCGGAUCGUAAAACUCUGUUAUUAGGGAAGAACAUAUGUGUAAGUAACUGUGCACAUCUUGACGGUACCUAAUCAGAAAGCCACGGCUAACUACGUG
rnacentral:rRNA from 1 species